rnacentral:rRNA from 1 species
AGUGAACGCUGGCGGUAUGCCUAACACAUGCAAGUCGAACGGCAGCACAGUAAGAUCUUGCUCUUACGGGUGGCGAGUGGCGGACGGGUGAGGAAUACAUCGGAUUCUACUUUUUCGUGGGUGAUAACGUAGGGACACUUACGCUAAUACCGCAUACGACCUACGGCUUAAAUCAGUGGAUCUUCGCACCUUUCGCGAUUCAAUUAGCCGAUUUCGGAUUAGCUAGUUGGCUGGGUAAAGGCCCACCAAGGCGACGAUGCGUAGCUGGUCUGAGAGGAUGAUCAGCCACACUGGAACUGAGACACGGUCCAGACUCCUACGGGAGGCAGCAGUAGGGAAUAUUGGACAAUGGGCGAAAGCCUGACGCAGCAAUACCGCGUGAGUGAAGAAGGCCUUCGGGUUGUAAAGCCCUGUUGUUGGGAAAGAAAAGAAGCAGGUGUAAACACGGAUGUUCUGACGGUACCCAAAGAAUAAGCAACGGCUAACUUCGUG